rnacentral:rRNA from 1 species
UCAAGUUAUUAAGGGUGCAGGGCGGAUGCCUUGGCACUAGGAGCCGAUGAAGGACGUGAUAAGCUGCGAUAAGCUUCGGGGAGUUGCACGUAAACUUUGAUCCGAAGAUUUCCGAAUGAGGAAACUCACUUAGAGUAAUGUCUAAGUAUCAUUAAGUGAAUACAUAGCUUAAUGAGGGGAACUCAGGGAACUGAAACAUCUAAGUACCUGAAGGAAGAGAAAGAAAUUCGAUUCCGUAAGUAGCGGCGAGCGAACGCGGAUUAGCCCAAACCAAUAAAGUUUUCUUUAUUGGGGUUGCGGACAUAUCAUAACGAAGAGGUAUCGUAAUUGAAGAGGUUUGGAAAGACCCACCACAGAAGGUAAUAGUCCUGUAUGUUAAACGAGAAGACUUUAGAUAUGAUCCAGAGUACCACGGGACACGUGAAACCCUGUGGGAAGCAGGAGGGACCACCCUCCAAGGCUAAAUACUACCUAGUGACCGAUAGCGUAUAGUACCGUGAGGGAAAGGUGAAAAGAACCCCGGGAGGGGAGUGAAAUAGAACCUGAAACCCUGCACUUACAAGCUGUGGAAGCACAUUUCUUGUGUGACCGCGUACUUUUUGUAGAACGGGCCAACGAGUUACGUUAAGUAGCAAGGUUAAGCACUUAAGGUGCGGAGCCGUAGCGAAAGCGAGUUUUAACUGAGCGUUCAGUUACUUGACGUAGACCCGAAACCGGGCGACCUACCCAUGAGCAGGAUGAAGCGAAAGUAAAAUUUCGUGGAGGUCCGAACCCACGAGCGUUGAAAAGCUCGGGGAUGACUUGUGGGUAGCGGUGAAAUUCCAAUCGAGCCCGGAGAUAGCUGGUUCUCCCCGAAAUAGCUUUAGGGCUAGCCUCAAGGUGAGAGAUACGGAGGUAGAGCACUGAAUGUCCUAGGGGGUAUUGCACCUACCGAAGACUAUCAAACUCCGAAUGCCGUCAUCUUAUACUUGGGAGUCAGACUGUGGGUGAUAAGAUUCAUAGUCGAAAGGGCAACAGCCCAGAUCGUCAGCUAAGGUCCCUAAAUGUAAGUUAAGUGGUAAAGGAUGUGGGAUUGCACAGACAACCAGGAUGUUGGCUUAGAAGCAGCCACUCAUUCAAAGAGUGCGUAAUAGCUCACUGGUCGAGUGAUCCUGCGCCGAAGAUUUCCGGGGCUAAAACUUACUACCGAAGCUACGGCAUCAGUAAUGAUGGGUAGGGGAGCUUCCCAUACGGGUUGAAGCAUGACCGUAAGGACAUGUGGACAGUAUGGGAGUGAGAAUGUUGGCAUGAGUAGCGAGAUGUGGGUGAGAAUCCCACAGGCCGUAAACCCAAGGUUUCCAGGGGAAGGUUCGUCCGCCCUGGGUUAGUCGGGACCUAAGCUGAGGCCGAAAGGCGUAGGUGAUGGACAACAGGUUGAUAUUCCUGUACUACCGAUAACCGUUUGAGAGAAGGGAUGACACAGUAGGAUAAGCUAAGCACACUGUUGGUUAUGUGUGCCCAAGCAUUGAGGCAGUCAAAGUAGGCAAAUCCGCUUUGAUAAUGCUGGGAUGUGAUGGGGAGCGAAAUUUAGUAGCGAAGUAGCUGAUUUCACACUGUCAAGAAAAGUCUCUAUCGAGGUUAAAGGUACCCGUACCGCAAACCGACACAGGUGGGUGAGGAGAGUAUCCUAAGGCCAGCGAGAGAACUGUUGUUAAGGAACUCGGCAAAAUGACCCCGUAACUUAGGGAUAAGGGGUGCCACCAUCAGGUGGCCGCAGAGAAUAGGCCCAAGCGACUGUUUACCAAAAACAUAGGUUUCUGCUAAGUCGCAAGACGAUGUAUAGGAGCUGACGCCUGCCCGGUGCUGGAAGGUUAAGGGGAUCUGUUAGAGCAAUCGAAGCAGUGAACUUAAGCCCCAGUAAACGGCGGCCGUAACUAUAACGGUCCUAAGGUAGCGAAAUUCCUUGUCGGGUAAGUUCCGACCCGCACGAAAGGCGUAACGAUUUGGGCACUGUCUCAACAACAGACUCGGUGAAAUUGUAAUUCCGGUGAAGAUGCCGGAUACCUGCGACAGGACGGAAAGACCCCAUGGAGCUUUACUGUAGCUUGACAUUGGGUCUUGGUACUACAUGUACAGGAUAGGUGGGAGGCUUUGAAACCAGGACGCCAGUUUUGGCGGAGCCAUCCUUGGGAUACCACCCUUGUAGUACUGGGACUCUAACCAUAGGCCAUGAAUCUGGUCUUGGGACACUGUCAGGUGGGCAGUUUGACUGGGGCGGUCGCCUCCCAAAAGGUAACGGAGGCGCUCAAAGGUUCUCUCAGUACGGUCGGAAAUCGUACGUAGAGUGUAAAGGCAAAAGAGAGCUUGAUUGCAAGACAUACAGGUCGAGCAAGGAUGAAAAUCGGACUUAGUGAUCCGGUGGUUCUGCGUGGAAGGGCCAUCGCUCAACGGAUAAAAGCUACCCUGGGGAUAACAGGCUUAUCUCCCCCAAGAGUCCACAUCGA